rnacentral:rRNA from 1 species
AGUGGCGGACGGGUGAGUAACGCGUGAGAAUCUGCCUUGGGGUCGGGGACAACCACUGGAAACGGUGGCUAAUACCGGAUAAGCCGAUUGGUGAAAGAUUUAUUGCCCGAAGAGGAGCUCGCGUCUGAUUAGCUAGUUGGUGAGGUAAGAGCUCACCAAGGCAGCGAUCAGUAGCUGGUCUGAGAGGACGAUCAGCCACACUGGGACUGAGACACGGCCCAGACUCCUACGGGAGGCAGCAGUGGGGAAUUUUCCGCAAUGGGCGAAAGCCUGACAGAGCAAGACCGCGUGAGGGAGGAAGGCUCUUGGGUUGUAAACCUCUUUUCUCAGGGAAGAAGCUCUGACGGUACCUGAGGAAUCAGCCUCGGCUAACUCCGUGCCAGCAGCCGCGGUAAUACGGAGGAGGCAAGCGUUAUCCGGAAUUAUUGGGCGUAAAGCGUCCGCAGGUGGCGAUUCAAGUCUGCUGUCAAAGCACGGGGCUUAACUCCGUAAAGGCAGUGGAAACUGAAUAGCUAGAGUGCCGUAGGGGUAGAGGGAAUUCCCGGUGUAGCGGUGAAAUGCGUAGAGAUCGGGAAGAACAUCGGUGGCGAAAGCGCUCUACUGGACGGCAACUGACACUCAGGGACGAAAGCUAGGGGAGCGAAUGGGAUUAGAUACCCC